GUGGGGAAUAUUGGACAAUGGGCGCAAGCCUGAUCCAGCCAUGCCGCGUGAGUGAUGAAGGCCCUAGGGUUGUAAAGCUCUUUCACCGGUGAAGAUAAUGACGGUAACCGGAGAAGAAGCCCCGGCUAACUUCGUGCCAGCAGCCGCGGUAAUACGAAGGGGGCUAGCGUUGUUCGGAAUUACUGGGCGUAAAGCGCACGUAGGCGGAUAUUUAAGUUAGGGGUGAAAUCCCAGGGCGCAACCCUGGAACUGCCUCUAAUACUGGGUAUCUCGAGUCCGAGAGAGGUGAGUGGAAUUCCGAGUGUAGAGGUGAAAUUCGUAGAUAUUCGGAGGAACACCAGUGGCGAAGGCGGCUCACUGGCUCGGUACUGACGCUGAGGUGCGAAAGCGUGGGGAGCAAACAGGAUUAGAAACCCCAGUAGUCC
rnacentral:rRNA from 1 species